rnacentral:rRNA from 1 species
UACAGAGGUCUCAAGCGUUGUUCGGAUUCAUUGGGCGUAAAGGGUGUGUAGGUGGCGCGCUAAGUCGGGUGUGAAAUUUCGGAGCUCAACUCCGAAACUGCAUUCGAUACUGGCGUGCUUGAGGACUGGAGAGGAGACUGGAAUUCAUGGUGUAGCAGUGAAAUGCGUAGAGAUCAUGAGGAAGACCAGUGGCGAAGGCGGGUCUCUGGACAGUUCCUGACACUGAGACACGAAGGCCAGGGGAGCAAACGGG